CAGUCGCCACGGUAAUACGAAGGGUGCAAGCGUUACUCGGAAUUACUGGGCGUAAAGCGUGCGUAGGUGGUGGUUUAAGUCCGUUGUGAAAGCUCUGGGCUCAACCUGGGAAUUGCAGUGGAUACUGGGUCACUAGAGUGUGGUAGAGGAUAGUGGAAUUUCCGGUGUAGCAGUGAAAUGCGUAGAGAUCGGAAGGAACAUCUGUGGCGAAGGCGACUAUCUGGGCCAACACUGACACUGAGGCACGAAAGCGUGGGGAGCAAACAGGAUUAGAGACCCCUGUAGUCCCUGUCUCUUAUAC
rnacentral:rRNA from 1 species